rnacentral:rRNA from 1 species
CUUGCUCUCUGGGUGACGAGCGGCGGACGGGUGAGUAAUGUCUGGGAAACUGCCUGAUGGAGGGGGAUAACUACUGGAAACGGUAGCUAAUACCGCAUAACGUCUUCGGACCAAAGUGGGGGACCUUCGGGCCUCACGCCAUCAGAUGUGCCCAGAUGGGAUUAGCUAGUAGGUGGGGUAAUGGCUCACCUAGGCGACGAUCCCUAGCUGGUCUGAGAGGAUGACCAGCCACACUGGAACUGAGACACGGUCCAGACUCCUACGGGAGGCAGCAGUGGGGAAUAUUGCACAAUGGGCGCAAGCCUGAUGCAGCCAUGCCGCGUGUGUGAAGAAGGCCUUCGGGUUGUAAAGCACUUUCAGCGAGGAGGAAGGGUGGUGUGUUAAUAGCGCAUCACAUUGACGUUACUCGCAGAAGAAGCACCGGCUAACUCCGUGCCAGCAGCCGCGGUAAUACGGAGGGUGCAAGCGUUAAUCGGAAUUACUGGGCGUAAAGCGCACGCAGGCGGUUUGUUAAGUCAGAUGUGAAAUCCCCGCGCUUAACGUGGGAACUGCAUUUGAAACUGGCAAGCUAGAGUCUUGUAGAGGGGGGUAGAAUUCCAGGUGUAGCGGUGAAAUGCGUAGAGAUCUGGAGGAAUACCGGUGGCGAAGGCGGCCCCCUGGACAAAGACUGACGCUC